rnacentral:rRNA from 1 species
AACUUUCAACAACGGAGGCUCUUGGUUCUGGCAUCGAUGAAGAACGCAGCGAAAUGCGAUAAGUAAUGUGAAUUGCAGAAUUCAGUGAAUCAUCGAAUCUUUGAACGCAUAUGGCGCCCGCUAGUAUUCUAGCGGGCAUGCCCUGUCGAGCGUCAUUUC